GAUGAACGCUGGCGGCGUGCCUAAUACGUGCAAGUCGAGCGAACAGAUGAGGAGCUUGCUCCUCUGACGUUAGCGGCGGACGGGUGAGUAACACGUGGAUAACCUACCUAUAAGACUGGGAUAACUUCGGGAAACCGGAGCUAAUACCGGAUAAUAUAUUGAACCGCAUGGUUCAAUAGUGAAAGACGGUUUUGCUGUCACUUAUAGAUGGAUCCGCGCCGCAUUAGCUAGUUGGUAAGGUAACGGCUUACCAAGGCAACGAUGCGUAGCCGACCUGAGAGGGUGAUCGGCCACACUGGAACUGAGACACGGUCCAGACUCCUACGGGAGGCAGCAGUAGGGAAUCUUCCGCAAUGGGCGAAAGCCUGACGGAGCGACGCCGCGUGAGUGAUGAAGGUCUUCGGAUCGUAAAACUCUGUUAUUAGGGAAGAACAAAUGUGUAAGUAACUAUGCACGUCUUGACGGUACCUAAUCAGAAAGCCACGGCUAACUACGUG
rnacentral:rRNA from 1 species